rnacentral:tRNA from 1 species
UAGAGAAUCGUAUAAUGAAGUACGGAAAAUUUUGGAUUUUUUGAUAGGGGUUCGAGUCCUCUUUCUCUAA